rnacentral:rRNA from 1 species
UGAUUUACAUUUGAGUGAGUGGCGAACUGGUGAGUAACACGUGGGAAACCUGCCCAGAGCGGGGGAUAACACCUGGAAACAGAUGCUAAUACCGCAUAACAACUUGGACCGCAUGGUCCGAGUUUGAAAAGAUGGCUUCGGCUAUCACUUCUGGAUGGUCCCGCGGCGUAUUAGCUAGAUGGUGAGGUAACGGCUCACCAUGGCAAUGAUACGUAGCCCGACCCUGAGAGGGUAAUCGGCUACAUUGGGACUGAGACACGGCCCCAAACUCC